ensembl:lncRNA
GCUCUGGAUAAACUUCCAGCCUCAAACGGAAGGACACACUCCCACCGAGCCGCUGCCCCUGAGCCCAUUUGGCUCUGAUUGGCUGCAAGACUUGCGCCUUCAGGCUAGCCACUCAGAGGCGCCCACCAGUUCCCUCUUGCUUCUGAUUGGCUGAGAGGAGCGCAUGCUCAGACACACCAAGGGCCGCAAGCUCAGAGCUAGAACGGCCGUUAACUGCUUGGCGUCGUCAUGUGGUUUCUUUACAGACUCGUUGGUCUGUGACAGCACAUAACCCACAAGAGGCCCUAGUAUGCAGAUGAGGAUGUGACAGUGAUUUUGGAGUUGCCUUCAACUUUGGGGGAACAGAAGAAACUGAAACACAAAACAAACUUAGAGAAGCUGAAAGAAGCUAAAGUAUUUAAAAACAUAUUAAAUGGGAAUCACUUCUUACCUUGAAAUGUUCUCAAAUGUCAUAGCACAAGAGAACCGCGGUGGCAUUGUGAAUAUAAGACCAAAAGAAGAUGGCAGCAACAGACCAUGGAACACGUCUGUACUGUUUUCCAGUCUCCACGGCCACCACCUGCCUCCACAGGCACCACCUAAGGAUUCUCAGAGCUGCAGGAAUGAGAGUUUUUUCAACUUUUAUCCUCAUGGUGACUCCCCAUGCAGUUUCUUGAGGGCUGUGGUAAACCAUUUCUCUGUAAUAAAAAUACCCAUGAUACUCUUUUCUCUACUGCCUCUUUGAAAUGUAAGAUGGCAGUAUUUAAAAAAAAAAGAUGGCAGUAUUAAAAUUGCUUAUAUUGAAUGUACUGUCAUUUCCAAAAUUCUUCACAUGGUCAAAUAAAAAUAUUCUCUUUGAAUAU